rnacentral:lncRNA from 10 species
ACCGAGGGGCCUGGGACGUGAGUGCGGAGGGAAGCGGUGUGCAGAAGUGGGGGCUGCCCAGGAGCGGUAGUGACACCCAGACGGCCCGCAGAGGGGCCCGGGCGCGGCGCUGCUGUGAUGGAGACCGGGGAGCGUGGGGAAGGUUCGGAGAGGCCCAGGGCUGCGCUCCCCAGCUUGAGGGGUCCCAGGAGUGAGCGGGAUCGGGAGUGAUCUGUGCAGAGAGGGAGUCUGCGGACCGGGCCAGAGGCUCAGGUUGUUCGGAUGCUGGCGGGACUCGCGUCAGCAUUCGGCCCCAGAGCCCGCGUGAGGGGCGGCGGGUCCUGAAGGACCAACCUCCUGCACGUGAGGGUGUCGUGACUGAGAGGGGCCUGGGCAGUGGGCAUUUUCGGGUGCUGUGCAGCAAGGGGACCGGGGGAGUCCGUCGAGGGCAGAAGAGCGGAAGGCGCUGGUGGCAGACCAAGUCUGGCAGGGACUGUGCUUGUGCAAGGCAGCUGGCCACUGUCAGGCCUAGGACGACGGCCAGAGCGUGGGAGAGACGACAAAGUGCCUCCUCAGCCUGGGAGCGUCGGGGCCUUUGGACGCCCGCGUCCUGCGCUUCCAACUUGCAGGCCACACUCUGCAGCCCCGUAAGCCGGGGGGGCGGGGUAGUGCCGCAGGAGGGCGGGCUCGGGGGUGGGGCAGGAGCGCUCGCGCGCGCUCUCCACGAAUCAGGAGGGCCUGGGAGGGCCUACAGGGCGCGACGUCGGUGGGCAGGGUUCAGUGGGCGGCCUGAGGCGAAGAGCUGCUUGCCUCCGCCUGCUAGGUUGCGCGCGCACUUCAGGCCUUGCGGGCAUGUCCAGCUCUUCUGUGGCUUCCAGCAGGCGAGGCCAAACAGGAUCUUUCUCACUUCCCCACAUCUCCUGGAUCCUGGAGCUGAUGCAGUCAGGUCCCGUGCUCACCGGGGGAACCGGCGAGCCUCUCCAAAGUAUUAAAGGACACUUCCGGAAGAGCCUUUGGCCUGUGGUCAGCCCGCAGACAUCGGUGGUCUCUGUACCUGUAGGAGCCCCAUGAGGGUCCAGGUGUGGGAGACAGUCCUGGGACAGGGCUUCUGCGGCCGAGGCAGGUGGAAAGGCACUCCAGGGGAGCUGCUGUAAAAGGUAGUUGGUAGGCAAGAGGUGGGCGUUCUGCUCCAAAUCCAGGACCUCCACUGGCAUUCUGGCUCUGUGUGUGUGGGCGGGACCAGGUGCCAGUUGCCCUUGGGGCGUGCUCACGUGUGAGUAGCUGCUUUUCCAAGGGCACCUUUGGGACCCCAGUGAAUCACCUCAUGGGGUAGAUCCAUGAUAGUUGAAGAAGUGCCCUUUUAGUCAGGAAGGCAAGCCCUAGUGUAAUAGCCCAGGCUCCAGGGCAUGCCCUUCUUAAUCCUCCCAAUACAGACCACAAUACUGGGACGGACUCCCAAUACUCCCUAAUACAGACCACAUUAGGGCCCCAUGGCAGCUAGCAUUUCCCUUGUUCUAACUUCUAAUGCUCUUCACAUUUGUUAUGAGGGUGUGGCUGACCUGGGACCUGGUGAAAUCAAUUUUCUAAAAUAAGAAAAAUAAAAAAGAAAAAGACUUCUGAAUUCUAAGGGGUCAGAGAAGGAUCUUCCAGAGAUUGCUGAGUGGGGAGGGCCUGGGGAUAUGGUUCUACAGUUUUUGGUCAUAACCACAAAGAUUAGCAUCUCUGCUGCCUGGUCGAUGAAGCAUCCCAAAUAGUCCAUCAGCGAGGGCAAAGUGAUGGAAACAUUUGGAGUCACUGAUUAACAUGCUUGAGGGCUGGAUCCCUUAUUUGGGAGGUGGGAGUACUUCCAGAGCUUCUUUUCACUUAAUGAAGGCUGGGAAGCUCAGAGCUCAGUGGUACAGGGCUGGAGGAAGUCAUUUUCAUAUAUAGAGUCUUUCUUGUUUGGCCUCUUUUGUAGCAAUGACUCCCCAGGACCCUCCAGUAACAAUUUUCCUUUACCUGCAUCCCCCACCAUCCUCAGGUUCCUGAGAUCACCUUGAAAAAAAAAAAACCCUUACCUUCGCCCAAGUCUUUCAGGCUCAAGCAAGAAAACAACUUGCUAUCUUUUAAGUCCUUGUUCCCCUCAGUUAUGCUCUUUGAUUUAUUAUUUUAUCAAUAUUAAUAGAAUCAAAGAAAAGUAUCACCUAUAGCCCUAUCACCAUCCCUUAGUCCAUCUCUAAUUUCCUCCAUUUCUCCCUGUCCUUGCCUAUAUGCUGACAUAAUUUUAUGUAGCUAUAAAAAAGCCAUGUUUAAAAUUAUAAGGUUAGCAUUUUCUUAUGUGGUGACAUAAUUGCUGUUACUACUAUUAUAAGUGAUUGCAUAAUACCUUACUGAAACAGUCUUAGAUAACACAGUAUUUUGGUUUUACACAUGAAAGAAAGAUUCAAAAAUUGUUGGGACAAGUACCUAUCCAUGAGGAAAAAAUAUAUCUUUAUCCCAGUCCUUACAGCACAUUCAAGAUAGACUGAAUAAUUAAAUAUAAAAAAUUAACAUAAACCAGAACAAAUGGGUAAGUGCUUUUUGAUCUUGGAUGGGAAAGGCCUGAGAGUGACAAAAACUUAAGAAAUUGCCAGGAUAAGACUGAUAAAUUUGGCUAUAUUCAUUCAACAAACAUUUAUUGAGUGCAUAUUCUAUAUGCAAGGUUCUGCUCUAGACACUGGGGAUCUCAGAGUUAUCUAAAAUGACAAGUAGGGAGUUGAGCUAUCAUACUCUCACACAAGUCAGUCAGUCAUAGCCAAAGGCUGUCCCUGGGGGCCUUAAGCCCCUGGGCACUCUGGGGCUCUCUGGGAAUAGGAGCAAAGCAGCCCCACUGACCUGAGGACAGGUGCCAGCCAUGGGAAGCCAGAGCACAUCAAGCCCCAGUGGGGGAUGUCCAGAAACAGUGAAAGGGGCCCAAGGGGACCUAGACAGAGCACCAAAGUGUUGGUUGAA